AUUCUGGGGUGCUGACCUACCCAUGCGGCCAUUCUGGAGUGCCAUCCUACCCAUGNCAUUCUGGGGUGCCGACCUACCCAUGCGGCCAUUCUGGGGUGUCGUCCUUCCCGUCUCAAGCCAUUCUGGGGCGCUGACCUACCCGUAUCGAGCCAUUCUGGGGUGCUGACUACCCAUCGGUCCUAACAACCGAACCUCGGGGACUAGUCCCCUCCUACUACCUCUAUCGCAUAUAACAUAACAAGCCAGCAUGCAAACAUAUCAUCACAUACUGUCAGACGUAUCUGGGGUGUCUGCUACCCUUCGGUCCUAACAACCGAACUCUACUACUAUCACAUACAACAUAUCAUGCUAGCAUAUAACAUAUCAGGUAGUAGCAAGCCUAGAUGAU
rnacentral:lncRNA from 1 species